rnacentral:rRNA from 1 species
UAUCUCUGUAGAGUCUGCAUAUCAAUAAGCGGAGGAAAAGAAACUAACAAGGAUUCCCUUAGUAACGGCGAGUGAAGCGGGAAGAGCUCAAAUUUGAAAUCUUCAAGGUUCUACCUUGACGAAUUGUAGUUUAAAGAAGUGUUUUCUGUUAGAUGAGUAGCAAAAGUUCCUUGGAAUGGGACAUCAUAGAGGGUGAGAAUCCCGUAUUUGGUUAUUCAUUCUAGCUUUGUGAUACACUUUCAAAGAGUCGGAUUGUUUGGGAAUACAGUCCAAAAUGGGUGGUAAAUUUCAUCUAAAGCUAAAUAUUGGCGAGAGACCGAUAGCGAACAAGUACCGUGAGGGAAAGAUGAAAAGAACUUUGAAAAGAGAGUUAAACAGUACGUGAAAUUGUCAAAAGGGAAGCGUUUGACACCAGUGUUGUUUUUCCGAAAAUCAAUUACGAAUGGCUUGAUUUUGUGUUGUAUUGACCUUAUCAGCUUUUCUUCACUUUUUUCGAGUCUUUCUUAAUGCACUUUUGGUUAACAAGUCAACAUCAAUUUCUUUUGUUGUAAAAGAGUAUUCGGAAGGUGGCUUUCUUUUCGGAGAAAGUGUUUAUAGCCCUAUACUUCUACAAUCGGAGAGAUUGAGGUCUGCAGCGUAGAUCCUUCGGGGUUAGAUACACUUGUGCUAAGUUGUAGCUUUUCAUAGACAACUUGUUGACUAUGUUUAGUCAUGCGGCUUACUCGCUUAUGCUAUUUUACCUACGCUUAGGAUGUUGAACUACUGAGACAUAGA